rnacentral:lncRNA from 1 species
CCUCUGCAAAGGCCAGCUCCGGGAAGGCAUUAAAUUACUGACUGAGGAGUUGUGGGGGGAAAUGGGGAGCCCUGGAAGAGAUUUAAGCAGAAGAACCAGGUCAGACUUGUAUUUUAGAAAGAUGACUUGGCCAGGUAUGGUGGCACACACCUGUAAUUCCAGCGACUCGGGAGACUAAGGCAGAAGGAUUGCAAGUUCAAGCCAGCUUCCUUCUGUUUGUGAGGCUCUUAGUGAGACCCUGUCUCAAAAUAAAACAUAGAAAGGGCUGGGGAUAUGGCUCGGUGUUAAGCGCCCCUGGGUUCAAUACCCAGUGCCGUAAAAAAAGAAAAAAAAAAGAGAGAGAGAGAAGUCUUGGGCUACAUCGUGGAAGAUGAGUUGAAGUAGGGAACAAGGUGGAGAAGGAGUCAGGUGUAGUGGUGCACACCUAUAAUCCCAGUUACUCAGGUGGCUGAGGCAGGAGGAUUGCUCAAGGCCAGCCUGGACAAUUUAGUGAGACACUGUCUCAAAAUAAAAAAUAAUAGUAAUUUUUAAAAGUGCUUGAUCUGGGCUGGAUUGUGCAUGCAUGUAAUUCCAGAAGCUUGGGAGGCUGAGGCAGGAAGAUCUUGAGUUCAAAGUCAGCUUCAGCAACUUAACAAGGCCUUAAGCAACUCGGUGAGAACCUGUGUCUAAAUAAAAUAUAAAAAGGGACUGGUGGUGGGGGUGCGCUGGGGUUGUGGCUCAGUGGUAGAGCACUUGCCUAGCACGUGUGAGGCACUGGGUUCAAUUCUCAGAAUCACAUAAAAAUAAAUAAACAAGAGGCUGCGGUUGUGGCUCAGCAGUAGAGCGCUCGCCUAGCAUGUGUGGGGCGCCGGAUUCGAUCCUCAGCAUAAUAAAAUAAAAUAAAGGUUUUGUGUCCAAC